GUCGGCUAAAGCUGUCCCCUCCCCCCGUUUGGGUCGGCCGGCCGGCAGGCUGAGAGGCUGGCGGGCGGCUCUCGAGCUCAGAGUUAGGCGCCUCCCUCUGCCCCUCCCGGCUCUGGCGGGGAGGGGGGAGCCGGAAGCGCCCACGCAGCAGGUGGUGGUGCCGGACCUCCCCCCGCCUUGAUCUUGAUCAGCAGAAAAACUGGAUGUGGCUUAUUCUCAGAUUCUUUCUAAAAUGAUCAUAUGGGAAAACCUCUUGGAUAUACGGGGUGAAAUAUGCAUUCUUAGGAUGUGAAAAUUUUGUUCUUCCGGAGAUAACGUCACAUCAGAUUGGAGACCUGAUUUCCUUGUUCUGGGAAUAGGGAGACCUGAGGAGAGGGGGAAGAGAGAAGGA